AUGGAAAAGCGUUAGACUGAAGUUCUAGAGAUCGCAGGUUCGAUCCCUGCCUU
rnacentral:tRNA from 16 species